CAUGAGAGUGAAGAAGAAGAAGAGGGAGACGGAAACGAGGAGAUAGAUGAUGAUGAUGAUGAUGAUGAUGAUGAUUAGAACUUAAUUUUGUUUUGGAUUGUAUUAAACUUAAAGGAUGAUUUUAAUUUGUUUUUUAGGGAGAAGAAUAGAAAUAAAUUAUUAGUUGUUUUGUUUUGUGUUUGGUUUUGAUUUUUUUAUGUAGGAACCCGAUAGGAAGGAGACACAACAAUUUGAAC
rnacentral:lncRNA from 1 species